UAUAGGCAGCUAACGUAAAGGAAACCCUGAUCCUGCUUUUUAUACUGGUAGGACUUUGUCACUGCAGAUGAAGCUGCAUUCUUACAUUGACUGACUGGUUUCCUAGAGGAAUAGGGAGAGCCAUAAAGAGGUUAUAUGAACUGUGUUGCUAAACCCCUCCAACAUCUGAACUGGCUGACACAGAGGGCACAGCAUGAUCAUAGGUAUGUUUUGAUGUGAGAGAGGAAGCCAGUCCUGUCAUCGCCACCUCACCCGCUCUUAAGAUAACCUUCGGGCCAACUGGGGGCCCAAGACUGGUUAGGAGACAACGCUAGAGACACUGUAAUUGUGAUGAACUGAGAGAAUAUUAGGGUAGCACUGUAAUUCAUCAUAUGCCGUGUCCUCAGAUUAAUGCAGAUGAAGGGAGUUAGAUAUGCAUAGAUUGUUUCUGUAUAUAUGCAUUACAAAUCAGACUUGACUUAAAUCAUGUUUCUAGUCUAUUGCAAAGUUACACUGUGUAAUCAUUGAUGUCCCAGGAGCAGUACACGCUGCUGAAGUGUAUAAUUGUAAUACAUACAUGCAGACACAGCAUCAUUCAAAGAAUGGAGUUUGUUACACCUGGUAUUGGAUAUGACUGAAAAAAGAAUGUCUCACAGAGAUUCAUACCUGAACCGCACCUUUAUUUGCAUUGAAUAUAUUCAAUGUACCGGCUACAAUGUGGUAAUAACUACAGUAGAUGUAUACAGGACUUCGAUCCUUGGCACAAUAAAGUUAUUGUCACGCCCUGACCGUAGAGAUCCUUUUUUGUCUCUAUUUUGGUUGGUCAGGGCGUGAGUUUGGGUGGGCAUUCUAUGUCUGGUGUUCUAUGUUGUCCUUGUUUUGUAUUUUCUGUGUGUUUGGCCGGGUAUGGUUCUCAAUCAGAGGCAGCUGUCUAUCGUUGUCUCUGAUUGAGAACCAUAUUUAGGUACCCUGUUUUCCCACUUUUGUUGUGGGUGAUUGUUUUCUGCUUAGUGUAUGUCACCUUGCAGAACUGUUUCGUUUUCGUUUUUUCCUCGUUAUUUUGUGUAGUGUUCAGUUUUGAUUAAAUUAUUAUCAUGAAC